UUGACUUCAGUGAUGAUGCGUAACACGUUUACACACGGUGGUAAAAUCUAUAUUAUGAGGGGGGCAUGCAAUCAUUUUACAGUAACACACUGGUAGUAAUUGUGGAGUUUUGUGAAAUGUUCCCCUCGGCCAAUAAAUGUGACUGGAAUGUUUUGGGCAACCUCAGCGUGGGCUGUUUCUAAUUAAAACAGUGACUAAAGCACAGAGACCUUCUGCUCUCAAAGGCUUCUGAAAGCUAAAACAGAAGUGGGCCUAUCAAUUCCCAAUCUGUAUGUUCCAAGCUACAUGUUAAUUGUUUUUAAAGCUCCAAUGCAGCUGUUUUUUUUUCUCUAUGAAAUCAUUUCUAGUUAACAAUUAGUGUGUGUUUUUUGACUGUUUUAAAUUGAAAAAGUAAUUUCUCAUGCAAGAAUUUUGUUAGGACUGUCUGGGAGUGGUCUGCGUGCGGGACCUAAUUGGAAGAGCCUAAUGAGGGAGAGACGAUUUGUCAAAACAGAUGCCUAUGUGCGAGCCAUGACAGAGAAAAGAGUGGUCAUCACUGAGUUUGGAACAGCAGCCUACCCAGACCCCUGCAAAAAUAUAUUCUCACGGUUUUUCACCUACUUCAAAGGGAUUGAGGUGACAGAUAAUUGCUUAGUGAAUGUGUACCCUGUUGGUGAGGAUUUCUAUGCCUGCACAGAAACCAACUACAUCACCAAAGUGGACCCAGACACACUGGAGACUCUGAAAAAGGUGGACCUGUGUGAUUACCUCUCGGUCAAUGGGGUGACGGCUCAUCCACACAUUGAAAGUGAUGGAACGGUGUACAACCUUGGGAACUGUUUUGGGAAGAACAUGUCAUUGGCCUACAACAUUGUAAAAAUUCCUCCCACGCAGAAAGACAAGUCCGAUCCCAUUGCAAAGUCCAAGGUUCUUGUGCAGAUACCCAGCAGUGAGAGAUUCAAGCCCUCGUAUGUUCAUAGCUUUGGAAUGACAGAAAACUACUUUGUCUUUGUUGAGACUCCAAUAAAGAUCAACCUUCUAAAAUUCUUGACUGCUUGGAGCAUCUGGGGCACAAAUUACAUGGAUUGCUUUGAGUCAAACGAAACCAUGGGUACAUGGUUCCAUCUGGCUAUGAAGGACCCAGCUAAAUACAUAGAGCAUAAAUUCAGGACCUCUGCCUUCAAUCUCUUCCAUCACAUCAACAGCUAUGAGGACGAUGGCUUCAUCGUUGUUGACCUGUGCACUUGGAAAGGUCAUGAGUUUGUCUACAACUACCUAUAUCUGGCCAACCUGCGGGAGAACUGGGAGGAAGUGAAGAAAGCUGCUAUGAGGGCACCUCAACCGGAGGUCCGGCGAUACGUUCUGCCCAUAGACGUCCACAGAGAGAAACAGGGGAAGAAUCUGAUAUCCCUUCCGUACACCACAGCCACUGCAGUGAUGCGCAGUGAUGGAACCAUCUGGCUGGAGCCUGAGGUUCUGUUUUCUGGACCACGACAAGCAUUUGAGUUCCCUCAGAUCAACUACAGUAAGUUCUCUGGGAAGAACUACAGCUAUGCCUAUGGACUGGGUCUGAACCACUUCAUCCCUGACAGGAUUUGCAAACUGAACGUGAAGACCAAGGAGACGUGGGUGUGGCAGGAGCCAGACUCGUACCCCUCAGAACCCAUCUUUGUGCAGACCCCAGACUCUGUGGAGGAAGAUGACGGGGUGUUGUUGAGCAUCGUGGUGAACCCUGGAGCAGACCAGAGGCCAGGGUACCUCCUCAUCCUCAAUGCCAGAGAUCUGACAGAGAUUGCACGGGCUGAGGUGGAGGUUAUCAUCCCUGUCACCUUCCAUGGAAUGUACAAGCCUUAGGACCACUUUCUCAACACAUCUACAGAACAAUCAUAAUACUAAAACUGUUGGAUUAUACUUUACACAAGACAUCUAGUUACAGUGCAUUCGGAAAUUAUUCAGACAUCUUCCCUUUUUCCACAUUUUUUUUUACGUUACAGCCUUAUUCUAAAAUUGAUAAAAAUAGUUCAGCAAUCUACACACAAUACCCCAUAAUGACCAAGUGUCAUUAUAUUUGAGACAUUAUUGCAAAUGUAUUUAUCAAAAUACAAAUACCUUAUUUACAUAAAUAUUUAGACAUUUUGCUAUGAGAUUUGAAAUUGAGCUCCGGUGCAUCCUGUUUCCAUUUAUCAUCCUUGAGAUGUUUCU